GAUGAACGCUGGCGGCGUGCCUAAUACAUGCAAGUCGAGCGAACAGACGAGGAGCUUGCUCCUCUGACGUUAGCGGCGGACGGGUGAGUAACACGUGGAUAACCUACUUAUAAGACUGGGAUAACUACGGGAAACCGGAGCUAAUACCGGAUAAUAUAUUGAACCGCAUGGUUCAAUAGUGAAAGACGGUUUUGCUGUAACUUAUAGAUGGAUCCGCGCCGCAUUAGCUAGUUGGUAAGGUAACGGCUUACCAAGGCAACGAUGCGUAGCCGAGCUGAGAGGGUGAUCGGCCACACUGGAACUGAGACACGGUCCAGACUCCUACGGGAGGCAGCAGUAGGGAAUCUUCCGCAAUGGUCGAAAGCCUUGCGGAGCAACGCCGCGUGAGUGAUGAAGGUCUUCGGAUCGUAAAACUCUGUUAUUAGGGAAGAACAAAUGUGUAAGUAACUAUGCACGUCUUGACGGUACCUAAUCAGAAAGCCACGGCUAACUACGUG
rnacentral:rRNA from 1 species